rnacentral:tRNA from 1 species
GCCAGUGUGGCAUGGUGGUUUGAGUGUUAGACUACUACUCUGGAAACCAGGGUUUGAUUCCCAGUUCGGCCA